GCCGGAGACUAGAGUCACAUCUUGACAGCUAUUGUCCUGGUAUGCUAGAGUUCUUGGAGAGAAUCUUCUGGUCUUGAUUCACUGAUGAGAGUAGCAAAUGCCUCCAGUUGUGACCAGAUCAGAAACAUAG